CGUUGCACUCGUCAGCUCCUACUGAUAGUGUCCGGCUACGCCUCAAUUCGUCGAGGCCCGUGAAAACCCCGCCUUUUUGUGGCGGGGUUUUGCUUUUUU
rnacentral:misc_RNA from 3 species